UAGCCAUGCCGCGUGAGUGAUGAAGGCCUUAGGGUCGUAAAGCUCUUUCGCCUGUGAUGAUAAUGACAGUAGCAGGUAAAGAAACCCCGGCUAACUCCGUGCCAGCCGCCGCGGUAA
rnacentral:rRNA from 1 species